AGAGUUUGAUCCCAUGGCUCAGGAUGAACGCUGGCGGCGUGCUUAACACAUGCAAGUCGAACGAUGAAGCCCAGCUUGCUGGGUGGAUUAGUGGCGAACGGGUGAGUAACACGUGAGUAACCUGCCCUUAACUCUGGGAUAAGCCUGGGAAACUGGGUCUAAUACCGGAUAGGAGCGUCCACCGCAUGGUGGGUGUUGGAAAGAUUUAUCGGUUUUGGAUGGACUCGCGGCCUAUCAGCUUGUUGGUGAGGUAAUGGCUCACCAAGGCGACGACGGGUAGCCGGCCUGAGAGGGUGACCGGCCACACUGGGACUGAGACACGGCCCAGACUCCUACGGGAGGCAGCAGUGGGGAAUAUUGCACAAUGGGCGCAAGCCUGAUGCAGCGACGCCGCGUGAGGGAUGACGGCCUUCGGGUUGUAAACCUCUUUCAGUAGGGAAGAAGCGAAAGUGACG
rnacentral:rRNA from 1 species